UUCAACGUACAACACGCUACUCAAUACCCCCCCCCCCCGUAUCGUUCAAUCCAAAGUGAAUAACAAGAAAAAUACACGAGCAUGCGAUUUGUCUCGUUUUUUACGGAGAUCGCGACUGUGACCGAUGAGAAAGGCUCAGUGUCGCUCGAACGCCGGGAGAAAUAUUUGGUGGUGAUGGGGGGAUGGGCAUUUAAGACACGAGUAGCCUUUCAGAAAUGUCUUUGAAAGGUCGGCGUGGGGUGAAUGCGGCUGUGAAUGUGCAGCAGCAACAGCAGCGGGACAAUGAUGGCAACGUCCCACGACGUUUCGGGCGCAACCCAAGCGUCCGUCAUCCCUCGCCCGAAACGUCGUGAUUUAUUUUAUUAUUCUACCUACGUGACUUUACCGAGUAUGGAUUCCUGCAGUCACGAAAGCUUCAAAUCAAGACAGCCCCCGCAGUGUAGACGUUGUUCUCUCGCCAGUAACAUCAUGUAACCAUUGCGUCUUGCGUGUGUUUUAGCAAGCCCGGCCGCCGACGAGACCCUGAGGGUGGAAACCGACCCAGAGGAGGUUGGGGGUACACGAGGCGGUGAUGGGAGAGGGGAUUCCAAAGAAGAGCGGUGCGAGGGAAGACGCGGAAAAGAGAAGCGAGGUGACCUGCAGGGUGGUGGUGCGUUAUCCGAAGCUGUGCAUGAGCAGCUCAUCUCUGGCAACCCGUCCACCAGAGCAGCGUGGACUCGCGGCGCUUUCUGCGCUGAGGAGCGAUGCUCCCGGGCACCGCCACGACGCAUCCUUCACGUGCUCAGCGCCAGACGACAAAGCCACCGUCCCAUGCCACCGUGGUUACACCUUUCUGUGUGUGUGCCGACACACCGCGCACGCGUUCGUCGCCACUGUGUGCUCAUGUGACGGCCAAAAUUGUAUGAAUUCCCGGACCCCUCCAAAAAAUAAA